rnacentral:ncRNA from 1 species
UAACCCAUAUAGUAAUGUAUGGCUGAAUCAGCAGAAGUCAGCAGAGGUCAUAGUGCGUGCGUGGCAGCAC